rnacentral:rRNA from 1 species
AACGAACGCUGGCGGCAUGCCUAACACAUGCAAGUCGAACGAGACCUUCGGGUCUAGUGGCGCACGGGUGCGUAACACGUGGGAAUUUGCCUCGGGGUAUGGAAUAACUCAGGGAAACUCGAGCUAAUACCAUAUAAUGUCUUCGGACCAAAGAUUUAUCGCCCUGAGAUAAGCCCGCGUAGGAUUAGCUAGUUGGUGGGGUAAAGGCUCACCAAGGCGACGAUCCUUAGCUGGUCUGAGAGGAUGAUCAGCCACACUGGGACUGAGACACGGCCCAGACUCCUACGGGAGGCAGCAGUGGGGAAUAUUGGACAAUGGGCGCAAGCCUGAUCCAGCAAUGCCGCGUGAGUGAUGAAGGCCUUAGGGUUGUAAAGCUCUUUUACCCGAGAUGAUAAUGACAGUAUCGGGAGAAUAAGCUCCGGCUAACUCCGUGCCAGCAGCCGCGGUAAAGUGACUACUG